UACGAAGGGGGCUAGCGUUAAUCGGAAUUACUGGGCGUAAAGCGUGCGCAGACGGUUGCGUAAGUCAGAUGUGAAAGCCCCGGGCUCAACCUGGGAAUUGCAUUUGAGACUGCGUAGCUAGGGUGCGGAAGAGGGAAGCGGAAUUUCCGGUGUAGCGGUGAAAUGCGUAGAUAUCGGAAGGAACACCAGUGGCGAAAGCGGCUUCCUGGUCCAGCACCGACGUUCAGGCACGAAAGCGUGGGGAGCGAACAGG
rnacentral:rRNA from 1 species